AUUGAACGCUGGCGGCAGGCUUAACACAUGCAAGUCGAGCGAGCGGCGGACGGGUGAGUAAUGUCUGGGAAACUGCCUGAUGGAGGGGGAUAACUACUGGAAACGGUAGCUAAUACCGCAUACCAUCAGAUGUGCCCAGCGGGGAUUAGCUAGUAGGUGGGGUAAUGGCUCACCUAGGCGACGAUCCCUAGCUGGUCUGCGAGGAUGACCAGCCACACUGGACCUGAGCCACGGGCCAGACCCCUACUGGAGGCAGCAGUGGGGAAUAUUUCACAAUGGGCGCAAGCCUGAUGCAGCCAUGCCGCGUGUGUGAAGAAGGCCUUCGGGUUGUAAAGCACUUUCAGCGAGGAGGCGUUACUCGCAGAAGAAGCACCGGCUAACUCCGUGCCAGCAGCCGCGGUAAUUC
rnacentral:rRNA from 1 species